rnacentral:rRNA from 1 species
AGAGUUUGAUCCUGGCUCAGAGCCAACGCUGGCUGUGUGCCUAAUACAUGCAAGUCGAACGGGGAAGUACCUUCGGGUAUUGUACUAGUGGCGUACGGGUGAGUAACACGUGGAUAAUCUGCCCUUAGGUGGGGAAUAACUAACCGAAAGGUUGGCUAAUACCGCAUAAGACCACAAUCUCUAUGGAGAAUGAGGUUAAAGGCUUCGGCCGCCCAAGGAUGAGUCCGCGUCCCAUUAGCUAGUUGGUGGGGUAAUGGCCUACCAAAGCAUCGAUGGGUAGCUGGUCUGAGAGGAUGAUCAGCCACACUGGGACUGAGACACGGCCCAGACUCCUACGGGAGGCAGCAGUAGGGAAUAUUGCACAAUGGAGGAAACUCUGAUGCAGCGACACAGCGUGAGUGAUGAAGGCCUUCGGGUUGUAAAGCUCUGUUCUCAGGGAAAAAGAAAGUGAUUGUACCUGAGGAGAAAGGACCGGCUAACUUCGUGCCAGCCGCCGCGGUAAUAC